rnacentral:tRNA from 1 species
GAUGGUGCUAGUAGCCGGUCUGAUACUCAGCAUCCCAGCCCUGCAAUUGGUAGCAGACAGAAAGAACAAAUAGCUGAAUAGGUAUCCCAGCCAGGCGGUUUACGGGGGUUCGAGUCCCCCUCUGGGAGCGA